rnacentral:rRNA from 1 species
AGAGUUUGAUCAUGGCUCAGGAUUAACGCUGGCGGCGUGCAUGAGACAUGCAAAUCGAACGGACGAGUGGGCUUGCUCACUCGUUAGUGGCGGACGGCUGAGUAACGCGUAGGUGACCUGCCCCGAAGUGGGGAAUAACUGCCCGAAAGGGUGGCUAAUACCGCAUGUGGUGCCACGUUCAUUCGUGUCUCCAAAGCCGCAAGGCGCUUCGGGAGGGGCCUGCGUCCGAUUAGCUCGUUGGUGGGGUAAUGGCUCACCAAGGCGACGAUCGGUAGGUGGUCUGAGAGGACGAUCACCCAGACUGGGACUGAGACACGGCCCAGACUCCUACGGGAGGCAGCAGUCGGGAAUUUUGCUCAAUGGGCGCAAGCCUGAAGCAGCAACGCCGCGUGGGGGAUGACGGCCUUCGGGUUGUAAACCUCUUUUCCCGGGGACGAUGAUGACGGUACUCGGGGAAUAAGUCACGGCUAACUACGUGCCAGCAGCCGCGGUAAUACGUAGGUGACGAGCGUUGUCCGGAUUUACUGGGCGUAAAGAGCGCGCAGGCGGUCGUACAAGUCGAGUGUGAAAUCCCCCGGCUCAACUGGGGAACGUCGCUCGAUACUGUUCGACUUGAAGGCGGGAGAGGGAAGCGGAAUUCCCGGUGUAAUGGUGAACUGCGUAGAUAUCGGGAGGAACACCAGUGGCGAAGGCGGCUUUCUGGCCCGUUCUUGACGCUGAGGCGCGAAAGCUAGGGUAGCAAACGGGAUUAGAUACCCCGGUAGUCCUAGCCGUAAACGAUGGACACUAGGUGUUGGUGGUAUCAACCCCGCCAGUGCCGAAGC